UUAAAUUGUACUUAUUUUAACAAAGAGCAUUAGAACAAGAACCCACCUGAGCAUAUUAAAAAAAAUAAAUUAAAAAAAAAAUAGAACCAAACCAACACAUUUCUAUCUUUCAAUUUUCUGUUGCUUUAUAAAGCUGCUCACCCCAGUAAUUUAUAUCCUACAAAAAAAAAAAAAAAAAAGGGGUGUGAUUAGGAGGGUGUUCCAUCUAGAAACUAGCUGUGAGCUAGCACCUGCGUCCUGUUUCCUGUUAUCUCUUGGAAGGAGGCAAACAGAGCAGUUUUCCUACAAGACAAAGCAAGUGAGAAAUUGAGACAACUUCUUCUCGUACAAGCCAUCAAUAUUUGAGCUAAACACCACAGAAAGCCUCAUCUUAAGAGGCUAAAGAGGACGUGACUCCAUCUUUAUUAACCUAGGAGAACAAGUGAAUUCCUUAUGACAUACCAGGAAUGCUGAGAAGUGAGAUAAGGAGAUUUUUGAAAAGCUCCAACAUUUGUUCUGCUUCACUUGAACUGGCACCCAUUUAGCAAGGAGAGGAGGAUACAAAAACCUGAGUGCUUUGUGGCUGUGUAAGUGACACUUGCCUGCAAAGGGUCAAAGAAAACCUGAGACCUCUUUGUUCUGUUGUUUAGGCUUGUCCAUGUUGGCAACAAAGUGAAAAAAGCCAAAAUGUAAGAAACUGUAGGGACUUGGACAGAGAGAAGCACAAGCCAUGGCAGAAACACCUUUGAAGAUGUGAACCUCUGCCAUACAGUAGCUCUCAAGAAUUUUCAGCUGGUGAUCUUCUUUCAAUGGCUUGGUGUCUGCUGUUCAUUUCCGUUUUGAAAGAUUAAUCCUUGUCUGUAUGUAUACCAUAGGGUGUUUCCUCUUGUAGGUGUUUUGAGAGACAGUCUCUCUUUCAUCCCAGACCAAUCACAGCACAGUCAAGCUCACCCCAACCUUCACAGUACUGUAAAUUGAAUCUAGGAGGUUUUUUGGUCCCAUUUGACCUUGGAACACUUCCUGUAAGUGUAAGGAAUAUGAAGUGAGGCUGGCAUGAUGCCUCCCUUGCUUUUCUCAUAUUCUGGUCAUUUUAACCUAACAUUAAGGACAGUCUUGUUUAACUUACAUUAGCACUCAUCCUACUAUUAGCAUUGUAUCCUGCUCACAAAGGACUUAGGAAGUAAUAAUGAUAAGAGGAACCUUGAAAAUGCAAGUAGAGCUGCUGCUGUAUACAGAGAUUACUGGAAGUUUCCCUUCUGGUUCCAAGACAGUAUAAUUUUCAGCAAUAGACUGUCACAUAAGACAUAGGAUUGGUGGGCCCUAGAAAUGCC
rnacentral:lncRNA from 1 species